rnacentral:sRNA from 1 species
CCUAUGUCGAAGAGGGGAGGGGUGAGAACUCUCGCCGGGUUCGAGCAGAGCAGCUUGCUGCGAUGAAGGAUCGCAGGCCGCCCCGAAGGGGUGAGCAAUGCACUGGCGAAUCAUCCUUCCCUCAUCGUCA